rnacentral:rRNA from 1 species
UACAGAGGUCUCAAGCGUUGUUCGGAUUCAUUGGGCGUAAAGGGUGCGUAGGCGGCGCGGUAAGUCGGGUGUGAAAUCUCGGAGCUUAACUCCGAAACUGCAUUCGAUACUGGCGGGCUCGAGGCAGGCAGGGGAGAUCGGAAUUCCUGGUGUAGCGGUGAAAUGCGCAGAUAUCAGGAGGAACACCGGUGGCGAAGGCGGAUCUCUGGGCCGGUACUGACGCUGAGGCGCGAAAGCGUGGGGAGCAAACAGG